rnacentral:rRNA from 1 species
AUUGAACGCUGGCGGCAGGCCUAACACAUGCAAGUCGAGCGGCAGCGGGAAAGUAGCUUGCUACUUUUGCCGGCGAGCGGCGGACGGGUGAGUAAUGCCUGGGGAUCUGCUCAGUCGAGGGGGAUAACUACUGGAAACGGUAGCUAAUACCGCAUACGCCCUACGGGGGAAAGCAGGGGACCUUCGGGCCUUGCGCGAUUGGAUGAACCCAGGUGGAAUUAGCUAGUUGGUGAGGUAACGGCUCACCAAGGCGACGAUCCCUAGCUGGUCUGGGAGGAUGAUCAGCCACACUGGAACUGAGACACGGUCCAGACUCCUACGGGAGGCAGCAGUGGGGAAUAUUGCACAAUGGGGAAAACCCUGAUGCAGCCAUGCCGCGUGUGUGAAGAAGGCCUUCGGGUUGUAAAGCACUUUCAGCGAGGAGGAAAGGUCAGUAGCUAAUAUCUGCUGGCUGUGACGUUACUCGCAGAAGAAGCACCGGCUAACUCCGUGCCAGCCGCCGCUGUAA